rnacentral:lncRNA from 1 species
UUUCUUCUUCUUCCAUCUCACGUUGCUUCCAUCCUCCCUGGAAGCAUGGUUGAAAACUUCAUAACUUUCUCUCUCUAGCUCCAAAUUUCAUGCCUUUGCCCACUCUUUCAUAUGAUUUUUCAUGCUCUUCCACUUUUAAACCUUAAAACCCUCAAAAAAUCUUUAUUCAGUACUUUCUCUCACUAGUUGAAAGUUUUAGAGAGAGAAAAAAAGAGCUUUUAUAGUAGCUCAACAAUUUUUGAAAAUAAUUUCAAUUAUAAAGCUACCAAGGUGAGUAGUGAACUAUAGUUGAUUUUUAAGUGUUGAGAAUGUCUAGUAAUUAGAGUUGUGAGAGUUUAUUUGUUGGCAUUAUUAUUCAUUUUAGUGUGACUAGAGAUUGCAAAUAAUAUCCAUUUAAUGGUGGUUGGAAACUAGUUAGGAAUGACUAGUAGAACCCAAUUUAGAAAAUAGUUUUGGAAUGGUAUUAAUACCAAUUUCGGUUGGUUGUGAUGUUGUGUGUAUAGGUUCCAACAAGGCCUCACAUGUCCAUUUGGAGCAUUAGUUGAUAUUAGAGUCAAGCAAAAGAAUCAACAAGACCGGUGAGUGAAUUGCCUUCAAACUUGUUUUGGGGAAUAUAAUGUAUUUGCCACACAUUUGAAUGAAUUAUCAAGUUUUUCAUAAAAACAAGUGCCUUGGGAACAAGCUUUUGCUAAAUGGUUUUAUGUUGUGAUAUGUGAUUGCUAUGGAUUCAUGCACUAUUGCAUUAUGAUGAUAUAUAUAUGUGUGUAUUGUGCAUGAUGAUUGAUAUUGUGUAUGAUGACUGUAACCGUGUGUGUGUGCAUGAUGUGGGGGGAUGAACAUGCCGGUGAUGAUGGUGGCGUGAGAGAUGGAUGAUGAUAGUGCCUUUUGUGCACGAAGUGGGGGGAUGUACACGAUGGCAUUAAUUGUGCACGAUGUGGGGGGAUACACACGAUGACGCCGGCUAUGUGCACGUUGUGGGGGGAUGCACAUGAGCCGGGUGUGAUUAUGAUGAUAUUGAUGUUUAUCUAUGUGUUUAUGCAUAUCUAUGCUUAUGAAAUGAAAGUUCAUGAAUAUGAUAUAUGAUUGAAAUGCAUGUGAAAUUUGGCAUGAUGGAUCUUGAGAAAUUCCCAUUUUCUUGCAAAUUGAUCUUUAUUGCAGCACCAAAUGGAUUUUUGUGCAAAGGAGGCCCCUUUUUCACUUAGGUGCCCUGCUUCUCGUUGCAGCGAGAAACAUUCUGUUUUGGCAGCAGAAAACUCACUGUCGCGAAAAUUAACCUUGCUGCAGCGAGAAACUCUCAGGUUUUGAUGCAGUACCUUCACUUUGAUGAAGAUGUUGACAACCUUCCCGUCCAAACUAGGAAACGUAGUAAACAAAAAAGUUGUAGCCCUGCCUCUUAGCUUUCUAAUGGUGGAAAUAUCAGUUCAAUUGGACUUCUGUAUCGGGAGAUAUACCAGAAAAACAGAAAUAUAUGCAAACUGGUAAUGUUUCUCACUGCAGCGAGAAACAUUCUGUCCUACAUGCUACCCUAUACGUUUUUUGACAUAUUUUUCACCCAUUUAACUUCAUGGAUUGAUCAUGGGUUGUUGUCACACUAUGAGGUUAUUAAUAGUAGUUUGAAAUAAGGGGUUUUUAGUAAGAAAUUAAAUCAAUUGCAUUGUUUUUGAAACAAGUGCAUCAUGAUUUCCAAAUUCUUCCUAUUGAUUGCUUGUUCCCUUCUUAUGUUCACUCACUGAGUUUUAUACUCACAUUUUUAAAAUUCAUGUUUUCAGAUUUGGAGGCAGUUGGGACCUAGAUUGAGUUGCACACAUAUGCUCGCUUUCUUGGUAGGUGCUAAGGCAUCUCAGUAGCUGUAUCUUCACCCAGAGUCACUCCGCUGAUGAUCUCAAGUCUAUUACUUGUGAACAUGUAUAUGUAAUGUAAACUAUUAAGAGUCAUGUUAUAAAUUAAGUAUGUAUAUGUUGGAUUGAUG